CGUGCCAGCAGCCGCGGUAAUACGUAGGGUGCGAGCGUUAAUCGGAAUUACUGGGCGUAAAGCGUGCGCAGGCGGUUUCGUAAGACAGACGUGAAAUCCCCGGGCUCAACCUGGGAACUGCGUUUGUGACUGCGAGGCUAGAGUUUGGCAGAGGGGGGUGGAAUUCCACGUGUAGCAGUGAAAUGCGUAGAGAUGUGGAGGAACACCGAUGGCGAAGGCAGCCCCCUGGGCCAAUACUGACGCUCAUGCACGAAAGCGUGGGGAGCAAACAGGAUUAGAUACCCUGGUAGUCCACGCCGUAAACGAUGA
rnacentral:rRNA from 1 species